CAUGAUCAGCCACACGGGCACUGAGACACGGGCCCGACUCCUACGGGAGGCAGCAGUGAGGAAUAUUGGUCAAUGGAGGCAACUCUGAACCAGCCAUGCCGCGUGAAGGAUGAAGGUCCUCUGGAUUGUAAACUUCUUUUAUAGAAGAAGAAACCCCAUUUUUCUAAAUGGGUUGACGGUACUCUAUGAAUAAGCACCGGCUAACUCCGUGCCAGCAGCCGCGGUAAUACGGAGGGUGCAAGCGUUAUCCGGAUUCACUGGGUUUAAAGGGAGCGUAGGUGGGCUUGUAAGUCAGUGGUGAAAUCUCCGAGCUUAACUUGGAAACUGCCAUUGAUACUACUGGUCUUGAAUUCUGUGGAGGUAAGCGGAAUAUAUCAUGUAGCGGUGAAAUGCUUAGAUAUGAUAUAGAACACCGAUAGCGAAGGCAGCUUACUACGCAGAUAUUGACACUGAGGCUCGAAAGCGUGGGGAUCAAACAGGAUUAGAUACCCUGGUAGUCCACGCCCUAAACUAUGGAUACUCGACAUCAGCGAUACACAGUUGGUGUCUGAGCGAAAGCAUUAAGUAUCC
rnacentral:rRNA from 1 species